UGGUGAAGGAACCUAUACCUGGCCACACCUUGAAAGCUAGAUUUACGGGACCUAUGCAAAUUGUAAGUAAAUCAUCUGAUGUAAAUUAUGUGGUAUCUCCCCUUGAUAAGACCUCAAAAAACUAAAAACUUACCACAUUAAUCAAUUAAAAUCUUUUCAUACACCAGAUAAAGUCCCAGUAAUGACUCUGUCCUCUUCCUCUGAGGAUGACUCUGACUCUUUGCACUCUAUUUCUGAAAUUAAUGUUAAACUUCCAAACUCUGUCCUCCUCAAGGACCCUAGCCCUUUAAUGGUGGGGCUGUCUGAAACUCAAGCAACAAGUUUAACUGCGCUUCUACAGUCAUACCCUGAUAUUUUUUCGGAUGUGCCGAAAAAAUGUACAUUAGGUUAUCAUGAUGUAGAUGUGGGAAACUCUAAACCUAUUAAAUUCUCCCCCUACAGAGCUAAUCCUGAAAAGCAGAGACUACUUCAGCAGGAAGUAGAAUUUCUGUUAGAGCAUGGUUUAGUGGAGGAGGAGUCUAGUCCAUGGGCUUCACCAUGCAUCCUUGUUAAAAAAAGCUGAUGGAGGGUUUCGUAUGUGUACAGACUACCGUAAGGUGAAUGAGGUCACACAGAUGCUUACCCUCUUCCUCGUCUGGAUGACGUAAUCGACUUUGUGGGUUGAUGCUUGUGAGUCUGGGGUUGGGGCAGUACUGUUGCAAAACGGGGCCAAGGAGUUGCAGCCUGUAGCCUUUUUUUCAGCCAAGUUCCAGCAGCAUCAGAGGGCUUACUCUACCAUUGAAAAAGAAGCCCUCGCGCUGGUACUGGCUCUGGAGCACUUUGAUGUAUACGUGGGACAAACUUCGCAGGUGCUCACUGUCUACAGUGAUCACAGUUCUCUAGUAUAUCUCCAAACCAUGAAGAACCACAACACAAGGCUCAUGUGAUGGACGAUAAGACUGCAACCAUAUUUUCUGAGAAUUGUACAUAUUGCCGGCAAAGAAAAUAUGUUGGCAGACUCUUUAUCAAGAGUUGAACAAUAUUAUUUAUAAUAAUUAUAUAUUAGGUUAGGAUGUGUUAGGUUACUUGUGGUAACCCCUUCCAAGCUCUUUUUUUUUUUAUCCCCUGGUGUGGGUUUUUUUUUUUACUGAGGGGAUGUGGGCUACCGUCCUCCCAUGUCUUGGACCUAAGCUAGCCCGACUGUCUGCUGUCUCGCUCUGAGUUUAGGGUUUGGCUUUUUAUCACGAGAAAAGCCGAGCUCUAUCUAAGAGUUGGAUGGUUGAGAGGAAAGGCGGUCCCAUUAUUUUGUGCCAUGGCGGCACGGUUACCACUGGGAGGUGGGAGCCUAAUCCUGAGCCUUCUCGGGAUGGAGGUGUGGCAUGCAAAGAGUACAUAACCUUUAUUCGGCACAUGUACACACCCUCAUUUACAGGCUAUCUCCCCCAACCAGUGAACCAGGUGACUGAGGGUUGACGAUGGGGCCCCAUCGUUCAACCAGUACCCAGGUUCCAGCCAAUGAGAAGAUGGUUUUGGCAAUUGCAGAGGUUAUGUGGGUACCACUCUCCUGUCUGCCCUUGUCAUUCCCAUUCUAGAGCUGGUUGAAGCACGGUCUGCUCUCUAGUGGCUUCUAUUCUGCCUUGCUUACCGUGGAGCGCACUAAUACCUAUCACUGUACAUAGUGUACAUACUUCUGUUCUAAAUUGGUGAAGGAUAAUACAAGUCAAAAGUUUU